rnacentral:tRNA from 1 species
GCAAGUAUGGCUGAAAUGGCAUAGGCACCUAUCUGCAAAAUAGGUUCAUGAGAGUUCAAGUCUCUCUACUUGCU